rnacentral:rRNA from 1 species
GGGAACGUACCUUUUGGUUCGGAACAACACAGGGAAACUUGUGCUAAUACCGGAUAAGCCCUUACGGGGAAAGAUUUAUCGCCGAAAGAUCGGCCCGCGUCUGAUUAGCUAGUUGGUAGGGUAACGGCCUACCAAGGCGACGAUCAGUAGCUGGUCUGAGAGGAUGAUCAGCCACAUUGGGACUGAGACACGGCCCAAACUCCUACGGGAGGCAGCAGUGGGGAAUAUUGGACAAUGGGGGCAACCCUGAUCCAGCCAUGCCGCGUGAGUGAUGAAGGCCCUAGGGUUGUAAAGCUCUUUUGUGCGGGAAGAUAAUGACGGUACCGCAAGAAUAAGCCCCGGCUAACUUCGUGCCAGCAGCCGCGGUAAUACGAAGGGGGCUAGCGUUGCUCGGAAUCACUGGGCGUAAAGGGUGCGUAGGCGGGUUUUUAAGUCAGAGGUGAAAUCCUGGAGCCCAACUCCAGAACUGCCUUUGAUACUGGGAAUCUUGAGUAUGGAAGAGGUGAGUGGAACUGCGAGU